AGUGAACGCUGGCGGCGUGCCUAAUACAUGCAAGUCGAACGGAGUGGCGCACGGAUGAGUAAUGUAUAGCUAAUCUGCCCUACACUAGAGGACAACAAUUGGAAACGACUGCUACUACUCCAUAGUGUAGGAUGAGGCUAUAUUGUAUCAGCUAGGUGGUGAGGUAAUGGCGCACCAAGGGUAUGACGCAUAACUGGUCUGAGAGGAUGAUCAGCCACACUGGAACUGAGACACGGUCCGGACUCCUUCGGGAGGCAGCAGUAGGGUGUAUUGGCCAAGGGGAGAGUCCGUGAAGCAGCAACGGCUCGUAGAGUAUGACAAUUUUCGGGGCGGGUACUCCUUUUGUUAGGGAAGCGGUACCUAACGAAUAAGCACCGGCUAACUCCGUGCCAGCAGCCGCGGUAAUAC
rnacentral:rRNA from 1 species